CCACUACGUAUUUCUUUAAAUCGCAACAACUACUUGGACAAUUGUAGUCAUUCAGGAUCGUCAGCUUUCAGUAUUGCCACCAAACGUGAGAUGAACAACUUCUGUCAUCGUAUUCGCAGCUUGGUUAAUCAAGAAAAUUCAUACAUCCAGGUACAGUCUGUCAUAUUUAAGUGAGCGAGGCAUAUGGGAUUGACAGGCAUCCGGCAGGAAGUCUGGAAGAUCCCUUACCUGGACAGGAGGCCCUGAGAGUACAGAAAGGCAUCCUGGCCAAGAAAGAGAAGGAGGUUGCACCCGGACAAGAAUCUCUAAAGGAUAGAUGGACAUCCCGGUUGGAGAAGAUUCCCUACCCAGACGGGAGGCCCCAGGCAAAUGGACAGGUAUCACAGCCAGACAUGAUUGCAGUACCUUCCCUGGCUAGGAAGAGAACAGGGAAGGACUGAUGCAGAGGGAUAUUUAUUCUCCCAGAGGACAAGUGGCAGCAGCCCUCCAUAUUGUCACCCAUUUGGGAACCAGCAGGGAAUGCAGAGAGUUGUAGUCUGGCAGCACAGCCCUGCUGGGGUCCGUGGGUGCCACAAGGGGGUGCUGCAGGGAGAUGCACUCCCCAAGUUAUGGAACUUCAAUAUGACCCGGAAGUAGUUCCAUCUGGCAGUUGCCCUGGCACUAGAAGUACUCCCAGGUCCUUAAUAAAAGGGUCCGCACUUCCUCAUCCAGGCGAGUUGGAGCUGGGAGGAAGGAAGGAAACACUUGACUGGAGGAGGGGUGUGCGGUGGAGAGAGAGAGAGAGAAAGAAAACCUGUCCUUGUUCUACUUUGUGGAGGAAUUUGGUUGAAUAAACCAUCCAUUAUUUGAACCCGGGACUGCCUUUGUGUGAUCAUUUUGAGACUUGCUGAUGGCCCAGUUCUAUCACAAUUAAUAUAAUUUAAACAAUUUGUAGACAACAGCAAUGAUGAGUUUCUUGAAAGCUUUGUAACUAAAGUAGCACGUUAAAUCCUUCAUGAUCUACCGACCCACUCAUUAAUCACCAAGUGCUUCUUAGACUGACACAAAUUGCAGUGAAAGAUAGAACUCACUAAAUUCACAUUUUGAAAGACUAAAAUUUACACAUGACAAUUUUCAUGAUGAAAUACAAUACAGUAGAC